rnacentral:rRNA from 1 species
GACAGAGGAUGCAAGCGUUAUCCGGAAUGAUUGGGCGUAAAGCGUCUGUAGGUGGCUUUUCAAGUCCGCCGUCAAAUCCCAGGGCUCAACCCUGGACAGGCGGUGGAAACUGCCAAGCUGGAGUACGGUAGGGGCAGAGGGAAUUUCCGGUGGAGCGGUGAAAUGCGUAGAUAUUCGGAAGAACACCAGUGGCGAAGGCGGCUCACUGGCCCGGUACUGACGCUGAGAUACGAAAGCGUGGGGAGCAAACAGG